GCCGCUGCCAGUGCGCGCGCGGCUCCCCUGCGCCCGCCGGCGGCCAGGGCUGCUGCCGCCACUCCUGCAGUGCCCCCACUGGGGGCGCCAGCCUCGCCCCCGGAUGGCUCGGCCAGGCGCGAGGCUAAGAUGCACACGGCAAAUGGAUAUCUUGUCACCCUUGCAUCCAUCUCUGAGGUUGAUUUCUCUCAGAAACUGAUGGAGAGUGGGCAGUGCCACACAUCUAGCCACAGAUGCAAUCUUUGAAGAGAAACGUGUGUGGGCAAGCACAGUGGCAGCUGGGAAAGUCUAAAUGACUGAAGCCUGUGACUCAGAUAUCUUAAACUGCCUUAAAAUUAAUGAAGCUCUGUGGAAUGACUCAGUUCAUUCAUGUCCUCAGCCCGCAGGCUCCAAAGCUUGCAGAAAUGGCUGUGGUUCACAGCUCAGGAGAGCUGACUCCAUAGAGGAAAGCGGGCCCACAAUGGGAGAAGAGGCGCUUUCUGCGGUGCGUGUCUAUCAUCCUGGCUGGAGACACAGGUCAUCUUCAAAGGCUGCAUGCAACUGUACUGAGGCUCACAUGAAAACAGAAACAGCAACAACAACAAAAACCUGCAGCAUCGAAGAACCAAACAUUAUGCCAGAAAAGACCUUUCUCACCCCAAAAUAACACCCAUAAAUUUGGGUUUUUAGAUCAUAGACAUAACUUGUUGAGUACCACCAUUAAUUUCAGAACAGUUUACACAACUUUAUGAGUUUCUUUAAAAGUAUAGAAACGAAAUCCUGGGACUUAGGGAUUCAGUUGGAACAGCCAGCUAUACAAAGGCUCUAGCUUAUCCUAGGAUUUAUGUAACGGAAGACAUAUCCAGAAUGGCCUUUCUGAAACACAAGUCAGAAUCCUUCCCAUCCCAGUGUAAAAAACCCUGAGUGCUGUGUCUUUCUUUGCUCCUCCCUGACAUUCCACUUGGGCUUUUUACUUCUUUGAGUCCACAAACUCAUCUCUUGCUUCUUGUACUCUGCACACUCCCCUCUCUCCGUUUCUAGUGCUCUUCCUUGCCCUCCUUCAUUGAAAUACUCUAUAUUUCUGGUAACUGCUUCUCCGUGAACUCAGAGUGUGACUGUGAUUGCCUGGGUACUUUCUUGUCUCCUUCUAGAUUGUGAGUUUCUCCGUUUCUAGUGCUCUUCCUUGCCCUCCUUCAUUGAAAUACUCUAUAUUUCUGGUAACUGCUUCUCCGUGAACUCAGAGUGUGACUGUGAUUGCCUGGGUACUUUCUUGUCUCCUUCUAGAUUGUGAGUUGAUUGAUAACUGGAUCUCAGGCCUCUGUCUCCAAGUCCAGACUGGACCUAACACAUACUAGGAAUUCAAUAUAUAUUUACUGCUAAAUGAGAACAAGUGGUCCUAACUUUCACAUGACAUUUCUCUGCACUUUUGGAGUCACUACCAAAUUUCUUAGUAUGCUAAUUUCAAUGAAAAUUCUGUUGAAAGACAAAAAGCCCAUGGUGCUUCCAACUGCACUAUAUUAAAAAUAUUUUUCCUCUUUAAAAAUGGGUGUUAUAUCUAUCUCAUUUGAAUGAAAUGUCAUAGCUUACAAAACACAUUUUCAGAUUUCAUAUCACAUGUCAGUCAAACAAGUUAGGCCAGGGCAUACAUUAAUAUCUUCAUUUUGUAGCUGACAACACAGACCUAGUUAGAUCAACUGACUUGCCCAAAGUCACCCUUGCAAACGCUCAGAGGUAAAGCAAACACCAUCUGACUCAAAACCAACAGAGUCUGGACUACUCCAGUUUAGAUCUCAAAUUGUCUAUUGCAAACCUACUUAGGAGUAUGAGGCUAAGGGGUCAGCUGAUCUAGGCUGAGCAUGGAAUAUGCAGUAGCAGAGACCUAACAACUGAAAGUAGAACUGAUGCUCCUGUACCUAACUGACAUACCACCUUUCCUUCUGUAAGAACCCAAGUGACAAGAAUAAAGCAAAUCACCACAAGAAAAACACAGUGUCUACUGGGCACACUGCAGUAAAACUGCCUUAAACACGUGGCCCAAGACAAUGGCAGGUCCCUAAAUCUGGUUACCAUAGUUACUUAUACCCACUUAAUACAAACCUAAACAUACCUGAGAUGGAGGAUUUGCCUCCAACAGACUAGUCUGUGGGAAUGUCUUUGGGGCCAUUUUCUUGAUUGCUAACUAUUGGCCUGCUGUGUACAAUGUCACCCCUAAAAGCAAGCUAGAGAAAGUAAGACAGGGAGGAGCAUUCUUCUAUGGUCACUACCUCCAAGUUUCUGUCUUCGCUUUCUUCUAUGAUGGCAUAUGACCUGUAAGCUGGAUUUGAUGGACUCUCCCCAAGUUGUGAGGAGUGCCAACACACCUGUGAGCACAGGUAAGACUACCACUUCUGCUCCAAGGAACCCACCCAGAGCCCUCAGGACACAGGAACUGAGGAGCAGCCUAGGACAGGAUCCUUCCGUUUUGUCUGCACUGGGACCUGAUCCUGUGCCACAGCGUUCCAUAUCCAAAUACCGUCAGGAGAGAGCUGGUCUCCCAGGAGAGCUGACACACUUGUGAGCACAGGUUAAGACCACUACUUCUGCUCAAAUUCCUGGCCCAAGAGGGAUCCACCCAGAGCCAUGAGAACAGAGGAACCAAGGAACAGCUGGGGACAGUAAAU